rnacentral:piRNA from 1 species
UUCCAUGACUUUCUCAACCUCAAAUGCUA